rnacentral:rRNA from 1 species
UACGAAGGGUGCAAACGUUGCUCGGAAUCACUGGGCGUAAAGCGCACGCAGGCGGAUUGAUAAGUCAGGGGUGAAAUCCCGGGGCUCAACCUCGGAAUUGCCUUUGAUACUGUCUGUCUUGAGUCCGGGAGAGGUGAGUGGAAUUCCUAGUGUAGAGGUGAAAUUCGUAGAUAUUAGGAAGAACACCAGUGGCGAAGGCGGCUCACUGGCCCGGUACUGACGCUCAUGUGCGAAAGCGUGGGGAGCAAACAGG